UGCUGCUGGAUCAUUACC
rnacentral:rRNA from 1 species